rnacentral:lncRNA from 1 species
CAGAAUAAUAAUUUAAUGCUUACUGGAUUUGCAGUAGCAUAGAACUCAGAACAAUGAUGUGCCCUGAGCUAGAUUCAGGGAAUAGGCUUGGGUGCGUGUAAGGUGGCUUCACAGGAAAUGGUGAGAGUACAGAAGUAGGGUGUAAACAUUAUGGGUUAACUGUUAUCAGUAGAAUAAUACUUCCAGAGUACAUACUGCAAGGUUGCCCUUGAUUGUGUAGCUUCAUACAGUGUGCACUUCCACACACUUAAAAGCAUUGCCCCAAGAUUCAUGGAUCCUGUGGUCACCCACUCUUGGUUACAAUUUAGUUUUAAAUGGCUAUAUUUGUUGAUUAAAUACAUGAACCUGUACACACAUAUCUAACAAACAUACCCAACUUCACUACGUCUGUAGCUCCUUGCCACUGUCUGGUUUUCUCCUUUAAUUCA